GCGUGACCAGCGGCGGGUCAAGUGACGCGGUGCCUGGCGCCGAGCCUCCCAAGAUGGCGGUGUGCAUCGCGGUGAUUGCCAAGGAGAAUUACCCCCUCUACAUUCGCAGCACCCCUACGGAGAACGAGCUGAAGUUCCACUACAUGGUGCACACAUCUCUGGACGUGGUGGAUGAGAAGAUCUCCGCAAUGGGGAAGGCCCUGGUCGACCAGAGGGAGCUGUACCUGGGCCUGCUCUACCCCACGGAGGACUACAAGGUGUAUCUUUCAGGGCAGGGUGUGUGUCAGGGAGGACCUACAGUUGCAAGAUGUACUUUAGGAUCAGAUAACUUGAAACCUUUUAGAAGAAAAAUAAAGAGGUGAGAGUUUUUAGCCAGCCAGGGAAUUAGGGUAGCCUGAGGUGAAUGAAGGCCUGUAACUCUUCUCUUUCAUUGGAAGAGCCAUUUGGUAAAAGCAAGGCUAGAAUUCCCCGUAGAAUGUUUUGGUUUGCACAUGUCCGUUGUCUGGUUUGCAGAGGAACUGGGACACUUCUGCUUUGUACCUGCAAGGAUUUCUUUCUGUGCUUUUCAGGGGGAGCCACCACCUUUGAGCAGCGGAUAAUAGUUUCAUUUAUUUCAUUAGGCCUUGCCUCGUAUGUCACUAGACACUCGUCUAGUCCCUUGGGACAAAUCACUUGAGGCCAUGGAGUUCGAAGACCUUCCCAAAAGUCAUAAUGUAGCCUGUCCAUGGUGACAUUUGCUAGUAGCCACUAUUUUACAAAAUAAUGUGGCCUCUAGAGAGGGGAUCCGCCUUGUUCACGAAGCCUCUGGUUUUGCAGUUAACUUUCCGGGCCAGGCAUUGAUUCAUAAAGAGGGUGAGGUGUUCCAGACAGACAGACUCAGAGUCUAGGUGGUUCGGCUCCUGGAGUGUGAACUGGGUAAGGCUUGGCUGCCUGCUCUUUGCUUCUCCUGCAAACACCAGACGUCGCCCUAGCAAAGUAUUUAGG
rnacentral:sRNA from 1 species